rnacentral:tRNA from 1 species
GCGCCCGUAGCUCAGCUGGAUAGAGCGUCUGCCUCCGGAGCAGAAGGCCGCAGGUUCGAAUCCUGCCGGGCGCGCCA